ACCCCUGUGAAAACGCCCCUAAACCCUUCUGAGUUUAAGGGAGCAGGUAUCAGGCACAACUUUAGCCCAAGACACCUAGUAAUGCCACACCCACAAGGGUCAUCAGCAGUGACUAAUAUUAAAUAUAAGCGACAGCUUGAAUUAGUUAAAGUAAAUAGGGCCGGCAAACCCGGUGCCAGCCGCCGCGGCUACACCAGUGGCCCAAAUUGAUAUAACCGGCGUAAAGCGUGAUUAAAGCAACUUUAAAACUAGAGCUAAACUUAAAUUAAACUGUUAAAUAAUUAUUUAAGGGAAAAUCAUAAACGAAAGUUACUCUACACUAUCAACUUGAACUCACGAAAGCUUGGACAUAAACUGGGAUUUGAUACCCCACUAUACCCAGCCAUAAACUAUAACUUACACUACAAUCGCCAGGGAACUACGAGCAAAGCUUAAAACCCAAAGGACUUGACGGUGCCCCAUAUCCCCCUAGAGGAGCCUGUCCUAUAAUCGAUAAUCCCCGCUUAACCUCACCACCUCUAGCCUAUUCAGCCUGUAUACUUCCGUCGUCAGCUUACCACGUGAGUGAAAUAAGUUAGCUAAACGUCUAAACUAUUUUAUAGUACGCCAAUACGUCAGGUCAAAGUGCAGCAAAUGAUGUGGAAAGAGAUUGGCUACACUUUUUAAAAUAAAAAAAACGAAAAACGAGAUGAAAAUUCGUUAUGAAGGUGGAUUUAGCAGUAAAAAGAAAUCAUAAAAUUCUCUUUAACUUGGCACUGGGGCGUGUACACACCGCCCGUCACCCUCUUCGAAAUAACAAAUGAUAGUAAUUAACAAACUUUAUUACAUAAAGAAGAGGUAAGUCGUAACAUGGUAAGUAUACCGGAAGGUGUUCUUGGAAA
rnacentral:ncRNA from 1 species